rnacentral:rRNA from 1 species
CCUACGGGAGGCAGCAGUGAGGAAUAUUGGUCAAUGGACGAGAGUCUGAACCAGCCAAGUAGCGUGAAGGAUGACUGCCCUAUGGGUUGUAAACUUCUUUUAUAAAGGAAUAAAACGAGGCACGUGUGCCUUUUUGCAUGUACUUUAUGAAUAAGGAUCGGCUAACUCCGUGCCAGCAGCCGCGGUAAUACGGAGGAUCCGAGCGUUAUCCGGAUUUAUUGGGUUUAAAGGGAGCGUAGAUGGGUUGUUAAGUCAGUUGUGAAAGUUUGCGGCUCAACCGUAAAAUUGCAAGUGAUACUGGCAGUCGUGAGUACAGUUGAGGUAGGCGGAAUUCGUGGUGUAGCGGUGAAAUGCUUAGAUAUCACGAAGAACCCCGAGUGCGAAGGCAGCUUACUAAACUGUGACUGACAUUGAUGCUCGAAAGUGUGGGUAUCAAACAGGAUUAGAUACCCGAGUAGUC